rnacentral:lncRNA from 1 species
UCCGGCGCUUCUCUUCGUCGCAUUGCGAGGUGCUGGUCUAUGAUCCUGGCAGCGAUUCCUGGCACCGCGAUUCCUCCGGGAUGAGCGCCAUGGAUCACGGAGAGCUCAUCUCUACCUCCAGCGGGAUUUACAGCUUGACCGCCUCGGACCGCCUCUACAAGUUCGUGGACGGGGAAUGGGUUCUCGCCGGGAGCAUCCAGCGCAAGCCAUCCCUCUCCGGCUUUCAAUGUCCACUCGCAGCGGGCAUUUGGGCUCCGGGACGAGAUCUUCGUUCUGGGCGGUGAUGAUCUGGGAAGAAGCUCUUGAUUGGAGAGGAUCUCAUUUGCCACGGAUUGUUCCUCUGGUUUAGAGCUGGCUCCGUGGUCAUGGGAUAGGUCGAUCCUGCUAGAUGAGCUUGCGGC